rnacentral:rRNA from 1 species
UACGUAGGGAGCAAGCGUUGUCCGGAAUCAUUGGGCGUAAAGCGCGCGUAGGUGGCCUCAUAAGUCCGCUGUGAAAGUCAAAGGCUCAACCUUUGAAAGCCGGUGGAUACUGUGAGGCUAGAGUACGGAAGAGGCGAGUGGAAUUCCUGGUGUAGCGGUGGAAUGCGCAGAUAUCGAGAGGAACACCAGUGGCGAAGGCGAGUCCCUGGACAACACCUGACACUGAGGCACGAAAGCUAGGGGAGCAAACAGG